UCUUUUUAUUUCUCUUCAUCUUCUUUUUCAUGUUGCGCUUGAACUUCAUAGAAAGACAUGAUUUUCAAUCUCGUUAAGCAUGCUGUAGAAUCCAAUCGUAGCAAUCUUUGAAUCCCACAAAGUAUCUCAAAAAAAUACGAACAACAAAUCAGAAUCCAACAGGGAUCAAGUUGACCGAUUCAUAAUGAAAAAAACAGAAUUCAUCCAGAGAAAUCGCUUCCCUCGGCCGAAGAUGAAGCAACAAUCAGACUUGGACAGAAAAUCUUUCAUUUUCCAGCUAGACAGCUCUCUAGGAGCAGAGAUGGCUUGACUCGCCUUCCCCAUAUAAGAUUCUCGCCUUCACCGACAGACAGCCUGAUCGAUUUGAGAUCUGUGUUUAAUCUAAAGGCUUGUGUUGGGAGAAAGUGGAGGAUUUGAUUUAGUGGGAAAAGGUGGUCGUGGGGUCCAUAUACCAGUGUAAAUGGACCAGGAUGAUUGGUUAGAGAAGAUGCCGGGUAAUUUAAUGGUGGUGGCUACGGUUACUGCAACCACGAGAUUUCAAGCUGCAAUAAGCCCACCGGAAUUCAAACUUGCAUCAUCAUUGACACUAAGAACUGAAUCCUCAUUUCAAUGACCAAAUGCAAGAUGCUCCGAAUGAGAUUCCGAUGCCUCAAAAUAAAUCCAAAUCGUUCAUUUAUCGGUUUCGUUUUAUGCUGUUACUGAAUUAGAAAUUAAUUGCAUAUUUGAAAUUAUCACCGAAUCUCAAACUCAGCCCAAGAGUAUGUGUUUGUCAAGGUCACCGGAGAUAAGUUUGAGUAGAUGAUAAAGAAGGUGAGAGACAGUGAGUUUUAAUUUUUUGUCAAUAUUUAUUUUAAUUAUUAAGGGCGUAUUUUAUUCUUUUCAGCUUUA